UGCGUAGGUGGUUUCUUAAGUCAGAGGUGAAAGGCUACGGCUCAACCGUAGUAAGCCUUUGAAACUGGGAAACUUGAGUGCAGGAGAGGAGAGUGGAAUUCCUAGUGUAGCGGUGAAAUGCGUAGAUAUUAGGAGGAACACCAGUUGCGAAGGCGGCUCUCUGGACUGUAACUGACACUGAGGCACGAAAGCGUGGGGAGCAAACAG
rnacentral:rRNA from 2 species